rnacentral:misc_RNA from 1 species
AAACGUCAAACAAAAUUGUUUUGUAAUUAAAAAAGUGCAGGUUGCAACGAAAAAAAACUACCACUCUGCGACUCAGUGCAUCAAAUAUGUUAUUUUAAUUGUUAAAAGCAGUUUGUAUGCUCAAACAGCAGAUAUGAGCGACACUCCUGGAUAUUUGGACGGCGUCUGUGAAGGCUGUCUGAGCCCGGAGCGGCAACAGCCAGUGGAAAUCACUGAUAUUGAAAUUAAGAAACUGUUUUUCGAAAUUCUCAACCAAGCGGCUGAUCAAAACAUAGAGAAUCUGAAGCUGCGUCUAUGCUCCGAGUGCAAGUCCAGCAUUAAGAAGUUCCUGACCUUCCGCCAACAGGUGCAAGACGCCCACGAGAUACUGUCCCGGCAUUUGAUCGCCUCAUCUCAGUCUACUCUGCCGUCAGAGCCCACCGACAAUUUCACUAAAACGCCCACAUCCGUCAGUGAUGUUAAGACUAGGAUAGAUGUUACGCCCAAAGAGCUAGCGUUUAUAAAGGUAGAAGAUGGGCUGGAUGACGGCGGAUGUUACCUGGAUGAUGACGAUCAGGGAGGUGAUGAGGAUUUUAAGACAGUAUUAAAAGCAGAGAUCUCGCAACCAAACCAGUUAGAUAUAAGCGUUAGUUAUAAAACAAAAGAAGAUGACUUCAAUGAGUCUGAUGAUGAACCGCUACACAAGAAGCGGAGUAAGAAGGAGGCGGGGGAGAAGAGGGGGAGGAAGAAGAAGAAAGAUGAUGCCUUACCUAAGAUAGACCGUCGCAAGUGUCCUGGGCCGAAACGCGAGAGGCCGCCGGGCGUGGUGGAUAAUCCGCGCGUCAGGCUGAAGCUGAAGCAACUGAAUGUGCCGGACGGCAUGCUCGAGUGUGUUGUACUUAGCUGGGAAGAGGUGGAGGCGGAAAGGCAACGCGGGCUAUCGAGCGCGGCGUACUCCGGCCAGCAGUACCGCUGCGCCCACUGCGUGCUCGGCUUCAACCACCGCGCCAAGCUGGUCGCGCACAUGAACAAGCAUGACGCGAGCGCGGGCCCACUGGAGUGUAACGUGUGUCAUGUUCGCUGCAAGCACGCGCAUGCGCUCAGUGCACAUAAGCGAAGACAUCGACUUAGAUGGCGCUGCACAGUAUGCGGGCACACGAUGUCCCGCGCGGGAGUGGCGGCCGACCACUGCAGUCGCCGACACACCGCGCCGCCUCCACAACACACGUGCCGCCUAUGCGGACAUACUGAUGCGUUAGUAUGUUAUGUUAGUUUGGCAAAGUUGCGCAGUCACAUGAAGAGUCAUGCGGAGCGACAGCGCUGCGAGCUUUGCGGGAAGACGUUCCGGGAUAGAACAUCGUUAAGGACGCAUCUCUUUAUCCACUCGGGGGAGAAGGAAUUCUCGUGUUCUCGCUGCGACAAGCGGUUUCUGUUCAAGAAGGCGAUGCAAGUGCAUGCCAUGACGCACGAUGCACAUGCCAACCUGUAUUGUUACCAGUGUGAUGUAACGUUCAAGAAUCGCAUGUCGUACACACAACACAUGAAGUAUAGUCUCAAACACGUCGAUCCCGCACAGCUCAAAUAUGCAUGCACGUCAUGCGACAAGCGGUUUCUGAAGGCUUCGCGUCUACACGACCAUACACUAGCUGUGCAUCUCAAGGCGACGCCCGUGCAUUGCUCCGUGCCCGGCUGUAGCUUUGUGAGUAUAGUGCCAUGCAUGCAUGCAUGCACAUCACACGCUAGCUGUGCAUCUCAAGGCGACGCCCGUGCAUUGCUCCGUGCCCGGCUGUAGCUUUGCGUGUGCGUCUCGUCCGGUGCUGCGUGCUCACAUGCGCUCGCGGCACCGCGACUCCGCGCCGCGCAGGAACCACGUGUGUCAUACUUGUGGGAAGGCCUAUCUUACUAAGAAAAGUCUAGAGGGUCAUCUCCGC